rnacentral:rRNA from 2 species
AUCAUCGAGUCUUUGAACGCACAUUGCGCCCCCUGGUAUUCCGGGGGGCAUGCCUGUCCGAGCGUCAUU